rnacentral:ncRNA from 1 species
UUCUUAUCCAGAGUGGUGGAGGGACUGGCCCGAUGAAACCCGGCAACCCAUUUGUGACGCUUAUGCGUGAUAGAUAGGGUGCCAAUACCUGUAGCGUGAAUGCGCUAAGUGAUAAGGA